rnacentral:rRNA from 1 species
CCUACGGGAGGCAGCAGUGGGGAAUAUUGGACAAUGGGGGAAACCCUGAUCCAGCGACGCCGCGUGAGUGAAGAAGUAUUUCGGUACGUAAAGCUCUAUCAGCAGGAAAGAAAAUGACGGUACCUGACUAAGAAGCCCCGGCUAACUACGUGCCAGCAGCCGCGGUAAUACGUAGGGGGCAAGCGUUAUCCGGAUUUACUGGGUGGAAAGGGAGCGUAGACGGCAGCGCAAGUCUGGAGUGAAAUGCCGGGGCCCAACCCCGGAACUGCUCUGGAAACUGUGAAGCUGGAGUGCAGGAGAGGUAAGCGGAAUUCCUGGUGUAGCGGUGAAAUGCGUAGAUAUCAGGAGGAACACCGGCGGCGAAGGCGGCUUACUGGACUGUAACUGACGUUGAGGCACGAAGGCCAGGGGAGCGAAAGGGAUUAGAUACCCCUGUAGUC